UACGUAGGGUGCAAGCGUUAAUCGGAGUUACUGGGCGUAAAGCGUGCGCAGGCGGUUGUGCAAGACCGAUGUGAAAUCCCCGGGCUUAACCUGGGAAUGGCAUUGGUGACUGCACGGCUAGAGUGUGUCAGAGGGGGGUAGAAUUCCACGUGUAGCAGUGAAAUGCGUAGAGAUGUGGAGGAAUACCGAUGGCGAAGGCAGCCCCCUGGGAUAACACUGACGCUCAUGCACGAAAGCGUGGGGAGCAAACAGG
rnacentral:rRNA from 1 species